UGUGUUUUAACCAAUUUUACGGAUAAGGUUCUGUUAAAAAAUUACCAUUGCGUCAGCCAUCCAUCCCGUUCAUACCUAAGCUGACGAUCUGCAGGAUAUCGGAAGAAAAAACCGUGUUUAGCUCAUAACAUCUGUAGUUUAGUACAAGAAACUGAGCGUUGUCGCCGUGUUGGCUGCGCUGGGAGCGCACAUUGCCGUCACCACCGUAACACCGUUAGCUCCCACCACUACGACUACGCCUGCCAUCAGAAUCAUAAUUUCCGAAUGCUCAUGCCAUUCCGGGCACCUUAAACUCCGGGCACACUAAUCAAAAUAUUAUUAUUUUAUCAGGAUGCAAAGAAGACAGAAGCUCCUGAUAAUAAGUUUCAAUAACUUUGGAAACGUGAAGGGUUUGACUCCCGAACGAAGCGCGAUACCAAGGUUUUUCUGUGGCUCAAAUCUCAGGUACCGAAUAUUUCGUUGAUUCCAUAUAUGGCCAGUUUGCUCAAUGUUGACACAUCAACCAGCCGUAGGUCUACGUCCUCCCAAAUUUUCGGGCUCCCGUCUACAUUGAAGCCGCUGAACCUAUAAAGAAUAGGAACGUUUCAAGAAGCGUAAUGUCGACUGCUGCGAUGUGUAUUCACUGGCACGUGUCUUUUUACACUAAAAGAUAUGCGCGAAUGGUCUGCCAGUCAUCCGGAUAUACCAGACUGCGCAUCCAGCGUGCAUACACAGCCGUGACCUUAGCUAGCAUGUCCGCAGUUACCGGUGGGAAGUUAUCGUUGAAGGUACACAUAAAGCGGCUGGUUAUCCGCAAUUUGCUGUCGCUACUUCGUAGAAGGAGGCGCGGAAUCCUGAUCUCCAGCUUGUCAAUGUCCAGUACGUGCGACUCCCUUGUUAGGUGUUUCAUCAGAUUUUGCUCAUGUUCUGGCAGGCGACGGACGACACCAUCAAACUUCAAGCUAUGAAACACUUCAAACGCCGUGAAACCAAACUGACCGGACACUUUCCAGUUGUAGAGCGCAAGGGAUUCGCAUUUGUGCUUGUACAACGUUGGUAUCAUAACUGCCUUGUGCAUCAGAUGUUCUUUUCGUCCAUCAAGCCUCCAAGGUUUUGAGAGGACCUGGUCUUUAAAAGCUACCCACUGAAACUUUAUCUCCAUGCGGUCUAGGAAGUCCAUUAAAAAUGAGGUUUUGUGCGUGGGAAAGGCGUUGAGAAAAAUGAGGCUUUUCGUGUUGGGAUAAACUGAGCGGAUGAGCAAAGAUGCUAGCUUGUAACAGUUGUUGCUAUCCGCAUGCAGCUGCCAACAACUUUCCAAAUUGAUGCUAAUACGUUCGGCCAGGCUCGAACUGUUCAACAGCAACUGCCAUAAAGCGCAUACCCUGUGGAAUAGCGACUUUGUUGGGCAACUGUGAAAUUUACAACAACUACCGCUCUAUAAAUCCAGUUUUCUUCCGAACUUCCGCAGCUUUUCUCCAUUUCGGUAAACUUGAAAAGAAAGAGGUUUACCUUUUGGCCGUCAUUUGUGAGUGCAGGUCCAGAUGGGUCAAGACUUCGCCCAUGAGCACAGGCGUAAGCUGGCUGAUCCGAGCGAUCGG